rnacentral:rRNA from 1 species
UAACAAGUAUAUUAAGGGCACCAGGUGGAUGCCUUGGCGUCGGAAGGCGAAGAAAGACGCGGACGGCUGCGAUAAGCCUCGGGGAGGAGCCUAACAUCCUUUGAUCCGGGGAUUUCUGAAUGGGGCAACCCGGCGGGAUGAAACCCGUCAUUUGCGGAUGAAUCCAUAGUUCGCAAAGGCCAACGCAGGGAAGUGAAACAUCUCAGUACCUGCAGGAAAGGAAAUCAAACGAGACUCCCAAAGUAGCGGCGAGCGAAAUGGGAAUAGCCCAAACCCCGCACUCAGUUUAUGGCUUGUGUAUUGGCCGUGCCCGGCUGACACGAGAUAUAAAGUGAGUGCGGGGGGUUGUAGGACCGCUAUAAUUGAUCCGCGAGUAGGCAGGGGAACGAGCUGGGAAGCUCGGCCACAGAGGGUGAGAGCCCCGUACCUGAAACCGGAAGCGGCAAGAGCGGCACCUGAGUACCGCGGGGCACGUGAAACCCCGUGGGAAUCCGGGAGGACCAUCUUCCAAGGCUAAGUACUAACCGACGACCGAUAGCGAACCAGUACCGUAAGGGAAAGGCGAAAAGAACCCCGUUGAGGGGAGUGAAAUAGACCUGAAACCUGUUGCCUACAAGCUGUGGGAGUCCCGCACUCACUUUACCAUGUGAGGUGGCUAUGUAUUAUCCAUACAUUACCUUCAUUUGCUAAAGUGAGUGCGGGAUGACCGCGUGCCUUUUGCAUAAUGAGUCAGCGAGUUACUUUGUCCAGCGAGGUUAAGCGAGAAGCGGAGCCGUAGCGAAAGCGAGUCUGAACAGGGCGCGUAGUUGGGCGGAGUAGACCCGAAACCGAGUGAGCUAUCCAUGGGCAGGUUGAAAGACAGGUAAAACUGUGUGGAGGACCGAACCGUCAACGGCUGAAAACGUUCCGGAUGACCUGUGGAUAGGGGUGAAAGGCCAAUCAAACUCGGUGAUAGCUGGUUCUCCCCGAAAUAUAUUGAGGUAUAGCCUCGAGGAUUGUCUUGCGCAGGUAAAGCACUGAAAGAGCUAGGGGUCCCACCAGAUUACCAAACUCUAUCAAACUCAGAAUGGCGUUAAGAUUUACCUCGGGAGUCAGACUGCGGGUGCGAAGAUUCGUAGUCGAGAGGGAAACAGCCCAGAUCUACAGCUAAGGCCUCCAAAUCCAUACUCAGUGUGAAAGGUGGUGGAGUUGCACAGACAGCCAGGAAGUUGGCUUAGAAGCAGCCAUCUUUUAAAGAAAGCGUAAUAGCUCACUGGUCUAGUGACUCCGCGCCGAAAAUGUAACGGGGCUAAGUAUGGUGCCGAAGCUUAGGGCGGGAUUAAAUAAUUUUCCUCGGUGUUACAAAGAGUGUUGUCGCGGUUAUUGGUGCUGAUUAAUCGAUUGGCGCCGGUAGAUACGACAAACACGCCAUCGGGAGUGAGAGGAGCAAUCCAAUCACAAGGCGUUGGCGGGAAGAUUGCGACAGCAAUCUUCGUGACAACGAGGAAAGUUAUAUAAUAAUCCUGCGGUAGGGGAGCGUUCUCAAUGGGACGAAGGGUCGCCGGAAGGCGGCUUGGACUUUUGAGAAGUGAUUAUGCUGACAUAAGUAACGAUAAAACGGGUGAAAAACCCGUUCGCCGUAAACCCGAGGUUUCCUGGGUCAAGGUAAUCUUCCCAGGGUUAGUCGGCCCCUAAGGCGAGGCUGAAGAGCGUAGUCGAUGGGAAACGGAUUAAUAUUUCCGUACUUGCAUAUGUAUGUCCGGAGGGACGCAGAAGGAUAGACCGGCAUCCUGUUGGAUGGGUGUGAAAGGUUGUAGGCUGUAUGGGUUAAUCCCCCAUAUAAGGCCGAGAGCCGAUGCGAGUGGCAACACGAGCGGUUAAUUCCCGGCUGCCUAGAAAAGCUCCAGGUCUUAGCAUAUGCGAACCGUACCGCAAACCAACACAGGUGGGUGGGUGUAAACGCACCAAGGCGCUCGAGAGAACUCUGGUUAAGGAACUCGGCAAAAUAACCCCGUAACUUCGGGAGAAGGGGUGCUUGUCCGUGUGACGAGUAUACAUUCAGAGCAUGGACGAGCCGCAGUAAAAUGGCGGUGGCGACUGUUUACUAAAAACAUAGGUCUCUGCGAAGUCGUAAGACGAAGUAUAGGGACUGACGCCUGCCCGGUGCCGGAAGGUUAAGAGGAGAGGUCAGCGCAAGCGAAGCUUUGAAUCGAAGCCCCGGUAAACGGCGGCCGUAACUAUAACGGUCCUAAGGUAGCGAAAUUCCUUGUCGGGUAAGUUCCGACCUGCACGAAUGGCGUAACGAUCUCCGCACUGUCUCAACCAGAGGCUCGGUGAAAUUGAAUUGGCGGUGAAAAUGCCGUCUACCCGCAGCGUGACGGAAAGACCCUGUGCACCUUUACUAUAGCUUGACAUUGAGUUUUGGGCUGACAUGUGUAGGAUAGGUGGGAGGCUGUGAACUCUGUACGCCAGUAUGGAAGGAGCCAUCCUUGAAAUACCACCCUUGUCAGUCUAAGACUCUAAUCCCGAACCCGUAAUCCGGGCGGGAGACCGUGUCUGGCGGGUAGUUUGACUGGGGCGGUCGCCUCCCAAAAUGUAACGGAGGCACGCAAAGGUUCCCUCAGCCUGAUUGGAAACCAGGCGCCGAGUGCAAACGCAUAAGGGAGCUUGACUGCAAGAGUGACAGCUCGAGCAGGGACGAAAGUCGGUGUUAGUGAUCCGGUGGUUCCGAAUGGAAGGGCCAUCGCUCAUUGGAUAAAAGGUACGCCGGGGAUAACAGGCUGAUCGCAUCCAAGAGUCCAUAUCGACGAUGCGGUUUGGCACCUCGAUGUCGGCUCAUCACAUCCUGGGGCUGAAGCAGGUCCCAAGGGUACGGCUGUUCGCCGUUUAAAGUGGUACGCGAGCUGGGUUUAAAACGUCGUGAGACAGUUUGGUCCCUAUCUGCUGUGGGCGCAGGAUAUUUGAGAGGGCUUGUUCCUAGUACGAGAGGACCGGGAUGAACGAACCACUGGUGGACCUGUUGUCGUGCCAACGGCACAGCAGGAUAGCCACGUUCGGAAGGGAUAACCGCUGAAAGCAUCUAAGCGGGAAGCCUGCCUCAAGAUAAGAUAUCCAUGUAGCAAUACGAGAGUCCCCUUGAAGACCACAAGGUCGAUAGGCCGGGGGUGUAAGCGUGGCGACGCGUUCAGCUUACCGGUACUAACAGGACGAACACUUGAUAUU